CUUGACGACCUGGGCAAGAUGGCGACGCUACAGGGCGGACUUCUGGGGCCGGACCCGGGAGCGCUGAGCCCCGCGCAACAGGAGCAGCUGCGCAACUUCAAGAUUCAGACUCGGAUUGCUAAUGAAAAAUACCUGAGGACCCACAAAGAAAUAGAGUUGCUCAUAAGUGGUUUCUUCAGAGAAAUGUUUUUGAAAAGACCAGACAGCAUCCAAGAAUUUUCUGCAGACUAUUUCACGGAUCCAAGACUUCCCAACAAGAUUCACAUGCAACUAAUUAAGGAGAAGAAAGCGGCUUAAUUAGCAGAAUCAGGAUGCUCAGCUGUUGAGAGAGACCAGGAAGAAUCCAGCCUCAGGGGUCACCCGGAAGCAAGGGAGCCCUGUUGCCAUCAGAGUGGGGUCCCAAGCUGCCUUGGGCCAUAUCUGCUGUUGCAAAGGCUUUUAAAGAUAUUCAUUAAAAACAGACCUUUCUAAUCUCUCUGCUGUGUUUCACUCAGAAGAGGAUGCCAUCCAGUAGGGAGGGCUGCGGCACCCCUCCUUGGACCUGCUGGGCCGCAGGGCCGUCUCUCCAUCUACCGCAGCCUGUGGGCCUCCACUAGGGCAGCAGGCUGCUCCCACGUAUGCCUCACACUGUGUCCUCCUUGACCCUCCAGGCCACUUGCUCCCAGAGCUGAGGCUGGAGGAGAGAACAGGGGUGGGGACUCCAAGAGGCCCACAGCUGAUUGGGGCGGCCCUGAAGCUGAGUCCACGUUUUAGCACGGUGUCCUCCCCACCCCCAUCUUCCCUCCCAUUUACCGUAUGGCGUGUACAAGGUUUAACUUUUCUAUCAGCGAUAAAAGCAAUGGGGCUGGAGGGACUGCAAGAAAAUGAGACUGGACAAGGAAAACCCAUUUGGGGUCCUGCAUCUUGUGAAUUAUAAAUCUAACAGGUGACUCAGAAGUGGUGGACUUUGUUCAUGAGGAUUUUUACCAACAAGCUGCCCAUCUGUUGUUUGCAGCUAACAGGCAGGGGAGAGGGCCAGUUGGUCUUUGACAUCCUUUCCAGGCCUGGAAGGCAUGAAUGUCUUCUGUGCUUGUGCCCUACCUCUCUGGUCUCCACAACCCGCUGUGUGAAGGACCUCUCACCUGGGUGUCUCCGGUCCACAUCACCAAGGCAACGGAGGCACAGCCCAAAGCAGGGGCUGUGCUUUCUCUCUCUGCCCCUUGUCUCUGUCCAUCUUAUCCCCAGCUACCAGCCCCUCCAUGGUGGAAGGGCCACAGAGCCGGGCAUGGAGAGGACUAGUAAAGCGAUGCCUAAUAAGCUAUGCAGCAGGAACCUGAAGAGUUUUUCAAGUGCUUUCAGAGUCACACUUCAGCAGCUAUGGCUCUGGCAGUGAGCUACCCCUGCUUAGAAAAUCAAGAUGAAGCCGUCAGCAGAAAACCCACAUGUAGUAAGGACCUCUGAUGUGAAGUGUUAAAUUAGACUCUCUCGAAAGCUUUCCCAGGAAGGGAGGCCUGCCUCAAGGUGGGGAGAGGGCAGUGUUUUCCAGAUGCUCAUGUGCAUGAUACCACAGGAGGACAGUGGUUCAUUCUUGGAAGGUUCCUGGAAGAAAUAAUAAAUGCAUUUCAAUUAGAAUAUAUUUCAAAGCCAAGGAAAGCUUGCAUUUAGCACGUGGUCCUAGAGCAUCUGCUCUGUUUGACAUCACACACUGGGUCCAGAGGGUCAGGUGCAGAGGUCAUCCUGCCACGAGCUGCUUGACGGUCUGGGAGGAGAUGUGCACCUUUCUCCCCAAGCGUGAACUGUCCGGAUAGCUCACCUUGUAGAUGGAAAGCACCGUCAGAACAGGGGCCAAAUCUAAAAACCGGGCUUAUGUCUGGCAUGUAGUAAGUGCUCAGUAAGCAUCUGUGGAGGGAAUGAAUGCUUGUGUAAUGGAGCAAGCAAUCAUGUUGCAUCAGCCGCUACAAAGACUUAUAAAGUCACAGAGCUGUGAUGGGUGUAGGUACAUCUAGAGGAGGAGGAAGAAAGGAUACCGGCUCUACGUGCAGGAGUGAGGACGCCCCAGAGAAACUGGCAUGGGAUGGGUGGGGAAGGGUUUGCCAGAGGGAUGUGGAGGGUGGCAUGGGGGGCCAGGGUACUGUAGGCUCUCCACUUUGCUGAGCAGGGAGGUGGUAGCAGACCCUGCAUGUCCCCUGCUCAUCCUUCUUAUCCCUUUCUUCCCUGCUGACCAUACACCAGCUUUGUUGAGGGCAGCAGUGGGCUCAGCCCCAAGUGGUAGAUGGUAUUUAUCCUGAGCCAAGCAUGGCAAUCACAUUCCCUGGUUUCCCAGCCUGCCUUGCAGCAAGGGGCAACACGGGUCAAGGUGCACUGUGGGUUUCUAGGAAAGCUUGGAACCUUCCCUUUUCCCACCUUUCUUCCUGUUUUGAGCCUGAAAGUGAGGUCUAGAGCUGAGUGGUUGUAGUAAGGCCAUGAAGGGACAAGUACGGUGGCUGAGCCAGUCCUCCAGAGUGGCAGGGAACAAAGAUCAAAAGACUGAGGGCCUGGUGGCAUCUUUGAGCACUUGAACAACCGAGUAAACACCUGCCUUCAGACUUCCUGACAAGUGAGAAAAAAUACAUUUCUCGUUUGUUUUGAAAGCACACCAAGAGUUUAAUCCUGACCCACCACUUACCAGUUGUGCAGCCUUGGCAAAGCUGCUUAACUUUCUUGAGGUCAGAUUUCUCAGUCUAGAAACUGAGACAUGUAAUUAGCAGCUCCUGGGGCUGCUGGGUUAGGAAUAAAGAAGGGACAGUGCCUGGCACGUGGGCAGUGUUCAUAGGAGGGUCUGACUGGAGGUGAGAACAACGCAGGGAUGAGAGACCCAACAGGAGGAAGAUGGACCCGCCACAAGGAGCAUCACACAUGAGACCCAAGAGGCUGAUCUUCACCAUCUGGGCAACAGAGAGCCAGCAAAAACUUUUAAGCCAAGAAGAGUUCAUGAAGAGAUUUAGAAAGUGUCAGAGUGUGGAAGAUAAACUAGAGGAAGCUCCGACUAGAUGUGGAAAGACCUGUGGUCCCAGCCCGCACCGUCUCUCCCGGCCCCUCUGCAAGGCCCCUCUGCACUCCCAUCUUAGCAGGCCUGUGCCCAGGCCGGCCCGCUGUCAGCGGAGAGCCCACUGCACCUGGGAACAGAAAACCCAGUUUAUGGCGGCUGACGCAAAUAGAGGGUUGUUUUUCUCACCCAACAGUGUGUCUGGCUAUAGGCAAGAUUCAGAGGUUCAGUGGUGAACACAAGGACGCAGACCAGGCUUUCAUCCCUUCCACUCAGCCAGCUGUAGCCUGUGGCUGCACUAUUGCGAGGGGCUGCUUCUGUUCUCCAGUGGGGAGAAGGUGGCAGAGCUGCACCAGCCGAGUCUGUCCCUUUUUGUUGGGAAAGCCAAGUUUCCCCAAAUGUUCUCUCCACCUGCAUCUCACAGGGCAGACUUGGGGUCCACCCAAGUGCUCCAGGGAUGGGGAAAAGGAACAUUUAACUCUAGCUUCUAGAGAAGGCAGUGUCCGGAGAAGAGUGGGAAUUGCUGUUGGGUUAGCCCCAAAGCAGUGUCCAUGCUCACCAGUUCCUUCUACCUGCCCCUGCCUGUCCCUGUCUGUCCCUGCCAUUCCCCCCAAAGAAUGAUCUUUUAAGAAACCUAAACCGGAGGGGUGCCUGGGUGGCUUGGUCGGUUGUGUCCCAACUCUGGGUUUUGGCUCAGUUCGUGAUCUUACAGGUCCUGGGAUGGGCUGUGUCUGUGUCGGGCUCCACCCUUGGCCGGGAGUCUGCUAGAAGAUUCUCUCCUUCCCCUCCCCCAAUUGGUGUGCCCCUUUUGCUCUCUCCAGUAAAUAAAUCUUUUAAACAAGAAAGAAAAAGAAAGAAAGAAAGGAAGGAACCUAAAUCAGAGUAUGUCACUCUUCUGCCAAAAACCGUUCCAUGGUCUUCCAAGGCACUUAAAUCCAGAUGGCUUUCUAGGGGCCUCAGAGCUUUGCAAGACCCCCUCCAUUUCUCAGACGUUUUCUGCCCCCUGCCUCCCACCUGCCUGUGUUCCAGACACACAGGUCUUUUCUCCCUUCCUCAGACAUGCCAGCGGAGUUCGGAGUUCCGGAGUCAGGGUCUUUGAACUCUGCCUGCAUUGUUCUUCUCCAGGUCUUCACAGGGCUAGGGGGCCCAGCUAGGAUGCUCUGGUCUGAAAGGAAGCCUCUUGCUAAGGGAGCAGGACUUACUUUU